CCUACGGGUGGCAGCAGUGGGGAAUAUUGCGCAAUGGGCGAAAGCCUGACGCAGCGACGCCGCGUGAGGGAUGAAGGUCUUCGGAUCGUAACCCUCUGUCAGCAGGGAAGAACGGUCACUGUGCUAAUCAGCAGUGAAUUGACGGUACCUGCAAAGGAAGCACCGGCUACCUCCGUGCCAGCAGCCGCGGUAAUACGGAGGGGGCGAGCGUUCAUCGGACUUACUGGGCGUAAGGGGCGCGUCGGGGGUAUGUCAAGUCAAGGGGGAAAUCCCCGCGCGCAAGGUGGGGACUGCCUUUGAAACGGGCAAACGGGAGUGUGUGAGAGGAUAGUGG
rnacentral:rRNA from 1 species